rnacentral:rRNA from 1 species
GACGAACGCUGGCGGCGUGCCUAAUACAUGCAAGUAGGACGCAGUUGCGAACGGGUGCGUAACGCGUAGGUAACUACCUAUUAGAGGGGGAUAAGUAUUGGAAACGAUAGCUAAUACCGCAUACUAGUAGAUGGACCUGCGGUGUAUUAGCUAGUAGGUAGGGUAAUGGCCUACCUAGGCAAAGAUACAUAGCCGACCUGGGAGGGGGAUCGGCCACGAUGGGACUGAGACACGGCCCAGACCCCUACGGGAGGCAGCAGUAGGGAAUCUUCGGAAAAGGGGGGAAACCUGACCGAGCAAAGCCGCGUGAGUGAAGAAGGGUUUCGGGUCGUAAAGCUAUGUUGUUAAGGAAGCGUUACUUAACCAGAAAGGGACGGCUAACUACGUGCCAGCAGCCGCGGUAAUUC